UACGUAGGGUGCAAGCGUUGUCCGGAAUUAUUGGGCGUAAAGAGCUUGUAGGCGGUUUGUCGCGUCUGCUGUGAAAAUCCGGGGCUCAACCCCGGACUUGCAGUGGGUACGGGCAGGCUAGAGUGUGGUAGGGGAGACUGGAAUUCCUGGUGUAGCGGUGAAAUGCGCAGAUAUCAGGAGGAACACCGAUGGCGAAGGCAGGUCUCUGGGCCACUACUGACGCUGAGAAGCGAAAGCAUGGGGAGCGAACAGG
rnacentral:rRNA from 1 species